UACGGGGGGGGUAAGCGUUGUUCGGAAUUACUGGGCGUAAAGGGCUCGUAGGCGGCCAACUAAGUCAUACGUGAAAUCCCUCAGCUUAACUGGGGAACUGCGUGUGAUACUGGAUGGCUUGGAUUUGGGAGAGGGAUGCGGAAUUCCAGGUGUAGCGGUGAAAUGCGUAGAUAUCAGGAGGAACACCGGUGGCGAAGGCGGGUCUCUGGGCCGUUACUGACGCUGAGGAGCGAAAGCGUGGGGAGCGAACAGG
rnacentral:rRNA from 1 species